CAUGCAGUCGACGAUGAACCGCUUUCGGGCGGGGAUUAGUGGCGAACGGGUGAGUAACACGUGGGCAAUCUGCCCUGCACUCUGGGACAAGCCCUGGAAACGGGGUCUAAUACCGGAUAUGACUGUCYRUCGCAUGGUGGAUGGUGUAAAGCUCCGGCGGUGCAGGAUGAGCCCGCGGCCUAUCAGCUUGUUGGUGAGGUAGUGGCUCACCAAGGCGACGACGGGUAGCCGGCCUGAGAGGGCGACCGGCCACACUGGGACUGAGACACGGCCCAGACUCCUACGGGAGGCAGCAGUGGGGAAUAUUGCACAAUGGGCGAAAGCCUGAUGCAGCGACGCCGCGUGAGGGAUGACGGCCUUCGGGUUGUAAACCUCUUUCAGCAGGGAAGAAGCGAAAGUGACGGUACCUGCAGAAGAAGCGCCGGCUAACUACGUGCCAGCAGCCGCGGUAAUACGUAGGGCGCAAGCGUUGUCCGGAAUUAUUGGGCGUAAAGAGCUCGUAGGCGGCUUGUCACGUCGGUUGUGAAAGCCCGGGGCUUAACCCCGGGUCUGCAGUCGAUACGGGCAGGCUAGAGUUCGGUAGGGGAGAUCGGAAUUCCUGGUGUAGCGGUGAAAUGCGCAGAUAUCAGGAGGAACACCGGUGGCGAAGGCGGAUCUCUGGGCCGAUACUGACGCUGAGAGCGAAAGCGUGGGGAGCGAACAGGAUUAGAUACCCUGGUAGUCCACGCCGUAAACGGUGGGCACUAGUGUGGGCAACAUUCCACGUGUCCGUGCCGCAGCUAACGCAUUAAG
rnacentral:rRNA from 1 species